rnacentral:rRNA from 1 species
AUUGAACGCUGGCGGCAGGCCUAACACAUGCAAGUCGAACGAGUGGCGGACGGGUGAGUAAUGCUUGGGAAUCUGGCUUAUGGAGGGGGAUAACGACGGGAAACUGGCGCUAAUACCGCAUACCAUAGGAUGUGCCCAGGUGGGAUUAGGUAGUCGGUGGGGUAACGGCCUACCAAGCCGACGAUCACUAGCUGGUCUGAGAGGAUGACCGUCCACUCCGGAACUGUGACACGGCCCAGACUCCUCCAGGAGGCAGCAGUGGGGAAUAUUGCACAAUUGGGGCAACCCUGACGCAGCCAUGCCGCGUGUAUGAAGAAGGCCUUCGGGUUGUAAAGUUCUUUCGGCGUUGAGGCGUUACUCUCAGAAGAAGCACCGGCUAACUCCGUGCCAGCAGCCGCGGUAAUUC